ACGUAGGUGGCAAGCGUUGUCCGGAAUUACUGGGUGUAAAGGGAGCGUAGGCGGGGGCGCAAGUCCGUUGUUAAAACUAUCGGCUCAACUGAUAGCUGCGGCGGAAACUGUGACUCUUGAGUGAAGUAGAGGCAGGCGGAAUUCCCAGUGUAGCGGUGAAAUGCGUAGAUAUUGGGAGGAACACCAGUGGCGAAGGCGGCCUGCUGGGCUUUAACUGACGCUGAGGCUCGAAAGUGUGGGGAGCAAACAG
rnacentral:rRNA from 1 species